CAUUUGACGUAUAAAAUAAAUAAAUAAAUAAAAUUGGAACAAUACAGAGAAGCAUGACCCCUGCACAAGGGUGACACGCAAAUUCGUAAAGCGUUCCAAUCCUUC
rnacentral:snRNA from 1 species